GAUUUCUCUCCAGAUUUCGUUCUGGUUGGGUUCUUAAUGCUGUGAUUCUCCAGUUAUAUGAAGGUUUGCUGAUUUACUGUGCAUUCUUAUAGAUGUCUGUGCAGAAAUAUCUUCCACUUAGUUCCAUCAGGUUUAUACUCAGCUACUUACAGAAGACAUACAACCAGCACUGGGAAAGCUGUACUUCACUGCUUGAAUUGUAUGAAUUUCCAUUGGGCGUCCAUUUGAACAAAGAGCUCUAAGGAUGUAUAGAUCAAACCUGUGAAAUAAUAAGACAGAUGGAGAAUUAGUGACCUGCUCAAGAUGAGCUGGGCAGAUAUUGUAUAUACCCGUGUACUGUAUAAGUCAACCUCAAGUACAGAGUUGGAAGACACCCUCAAAGUGCAUCCAGUGUAACCCCCUUCAGCCAGGCAGGAAGACCCAAUCAAAGCCCUCCCGACAGACAACCAUCCAGCCUCUGUUUAACAACCUCCAAAGAGAUUUAAUCACUACAGAAGUGGAAUGCUGAUGCUUUUCAAAUGUAGGUACUGUUACAAUAUUUUGUUGGUUGAGUUGCAGUAAUUGCCACUCCAAUGAAGUAAUUGCCACUUCCAAUGAAGAAAAGAAUCUGUUGACAAUGAUGUUUGUGAUGUAGCACCAACAUGAAAAGUUUGGAAAGCUCUGAUAUAGUGGAAUUUAGCUUGG
rnacentral:lncRNA from 11 species